UACAGAGGGUGCAAACGUUGCUCGGAAUUAUUGGGCGUAAAGCGCGUGUAGGCGGCUUGUUAAGUUGGUUGUGAAAACCCAUGGCUCAACCAUGGAAGGGCGUCCAAAACUGGCAAGCUAGAGUCCCGACGAGGAUGGCGGAAUUCCCAGUGUAGAGGUGAAAUUCGUAGAUAUUGGGAGGAACACCGGUGGCGAAGGCGGCCAUCUGGGAGGGCACUGACGCUGAGACGCGAAGGCGUGGGGAGCAAACAGG
rnacentral:rRNA from 1 species